CCUACGUGAGGCUGCAGUGAGGAAUAUUCGUCAAUGGACGAGAGUCUGAACCAGCCACGUAGCGUGAAGGAUGACUGCCCUAUGGGUUGUAAACUUCUUUUAUAUGGGAAUAAAAUGUUCCACGUGUGGGAUUUUGUAUGUACCAUAUGAAUACGGAUCGGCUAACUCCAUGCCAGCCGCCGCGGUAAGACGGAGGCUGCGAGCGUUAUCCGGAUUUAUUGGGUUUAAAGGGAGCGUAGGUGGAUUGUUAAGUCAGUUUUGAAAGUUUGCGGCUCAACCGUAAAAUUGCAGUGGAAACUGGCAGUCUUGAGUACAGUAGAGGAGGGCGGAAUUCGUGGUGUAGCGGUGAAAUGCUUAGAUAUCACGAAGAACUCCGAUUGCGAAGGCAGUUCACUGGACUGUAACUGACACUGAGGCUCGAAAGUGUGGGUAUCAAACAGGAUUAGAUACCCGAGUAGUC
rnacentral:rRNA from 1 species